AGUUGAUUUCCUACUUCAUCUAAUAUAUCAGAACCAUCUAGAUCAAACGGUCUAUACAGGUUAAUCUAGAUACUUCUGAUACAUUAGUUGGAGUAGGAAAUAAUU